AACGAACGCUGGCGGCAUGCCUAACACAUGCCAGUCGAACGAGACCUUCGGGUCUUGUGGCGCACGGGUGCGUAACGCGUGGGAACCUGCCCUUAGGUUCGGCAUAACUCCCCGAAAGGGGUGCUAAUACCGGAUAAUGUCUUCGGACCAAAGAUUUAUCGCCUUUGGAUGGGCCCGCGUUGGAUUAGCUAGUUGGUAGGGUAAAAGCCUACCAAGGCGACGAUCCAUAGCUGGUCUGAGAGGAUGAUCAGCCACACUGGGACUGAGACACGGCCCAGACUCCUACGGGAGGCAGGAGUGGGGAAUAUUGGACAAUGGGCGGAAGCAUGAUCCAGCAAUGCCGCGUGAGUGAUGAAGGCCUUAGGGAUGUAAAGCUCUUUUACCCGGGAUGAUAAUGACGGUACCGGGAGAAUAAGCACCGGCUAACUACGUG
rnacentral:rRNA from 1 species